CUACCGGGUUUAACCAACUUGGAGUGUCCGAGGCCGGCCGCGUGGUGGCGCACGUGGCCGCGGGGAUUCGAUUGGGCCCUGUAUCUUUACACCCCCGUGUGGGGUAGCUGGCCCUGAGGGGCAGGCCGAGUAAAGAUGGGAGUGAGCGGUGCUUCUUAUGCUUGGAAAUGUUCCAGACUGUUGAGUCAGUCUUCCCCCGAAGGAAACUACGGCUCGAGGGGCAGGCUUCAGUGAGGUCGCAGGUCGAGUUAGCUGCGAGCGGGCCCUGCCUGGAGCCUAAUGCUUGCUUGGCCAGCCGGGAGUUACAGCCCUUAUAUGCAUGACGCGCUGCACCCGCAUUUAUUGUACAGGAUUCUGGAGGGCUGGAGCCCGGCCCUUCUGCUUCCCCACUGGCGCCUGGCACCGUAAGAGGAUGCAUGGCUGCCUUGAAUAUACUGGCUCCGUGGGACCCACUGAUCUGUGGAGAGAAAGGCAUCCCAUCCUAUGGACGAUCACCCACCCGGACUGGGUGCAGGUGAUGGGCUCUGUCAGUUCCUUUGUGAUACUUGCACUUGGAACCCAGCCACCAUGCUGUAAGGAAGUCCAGGCCACCCUGUGGAGAGGUGUGUGCAGAGAGAAGCAGCAUACGGCAGCAACUGGAAAGCCACAUGAGUGAGUCAUCUUGGAAGUGGCUCUUCCAGCCCUAGCUGAUGCCACUGCAGCGAGUCAGUCCAGCUAUUCUAGCCACCGAUGGAUGGAAGUGGGGUGUAAAAAUCUUCUGUGAUGGGGCGCCUGAGUGGCACAGCGGUUGGGCGUCUGCCUUCGGCUCAGGGCGUGAUCCCGGCGUUCCGGGAUCGAGCCCCACAUCGGGCUUCUCCCCUAGGAGCCUGCUUCUUCCUCU